ensembl:snRNA U2 U2 spliceosomal RNA
GUAAGUUCUCAGCCUUUUAGCUAAGAUCAAGUGUAGUAUCUGUUAUCAGUUUAAUAUCUGAUACGUCCUCUAUAUGAGGACGACAUAUUCAUUUGAUUUUUAGAACAGGGAGAUGGAAGAGGGACUUGCUCCGUCCGCUCCACGCAUCGACCUGGCAUUGCAGCUGUGCAAACACA